rnacentral:lncRNA from 1 species
GGAUUCUACCAAAUGGCCACAUCAUUCAAAUUGGCAAACUAUUAUCAACGUUAUUUUUUUAAUUCUUGUAUUUUGUAAAUCUCCGAUGACUUUGUCUUCCGGUGGAUUUUGUCGUUGGGUUAACUUUUCUUUUAGUUUUCUUUUUGUUUAUUGUGGUGGCUGUCAUCAUCGAGAUUUCUCUGGUGAUCACGUGCAUGAUAUUAGUAUAAUCAAUUUAAAACCCUAAAAUUGUUUAAUUUUAGCAAUUCAAUCCAAAAAUAUAUGAAAUUUUAUUGCAAUAAAGUAAUCAAAAUUGCAUGGCUACAUCAAAUUAGGAACAGUCUCUCCAGAGUUCUGUCAUGGUGAAUAUGUUACCAAUGCCCAUUGCACAAAUUGGAUCUGCAAAGAUGAAGACAGACCAAAUUAAUAUACAAAAUUCUGUUGAAACCCAUAAAAAUAAAAGAAUCUGUAGAGUCCCAGAAGUGAAAAAAUAUAAGAAAUGCCAACCUCAAAGGACAAGGCAAAUGUGGGUUUCCAUUGUAAUGAGAUGAUCUAGAUCAGCUGUGAAUAAAAAGGAAGAAAAUGACAAAGAAGCAGAAGAAAAUAUUGGAAAGUAUCAUGAUUAUAUUAGCUUUUCUUUAAGCUGUGUAGGUCUGUGAUUCUCUUGGCCUUUGCCAAGUCUUCUUAAUGAAGGUGUUUGCCGGCCAAAAAUGAUCAGAAUGUGCAUAGGAAAGACUGAUCAGCCGGCUCUACA